AGCGAACGUUAGCGGCGGGCCUAACACAUGCAAGUCGAACGCGAAAGGUCUUCGGACUGAGUAGAGUGGCGCACGGGUGAGUAACACGUAGGUAAUCUACCCUUUGGCGGGGGAUAACGUUCCGAAAGGAGCGCUAAUACCGCAUAAGACCACGGAGUCUCCGGACGCUGUGGGAAAAGGUGGCCUCUUCUUGAAAGCUACCACCGAAGGAUGAGCCUGCGUCCCAUCAGCUAGUUGGUAAGGUAAUGGCUUACCAAGUCGAAGACGGGUAGCUGGUUUGAGAGAAUGAUCAGCCACACUGGCACUGGAACACGGGCCAGACUCCUACGGGAGGCAGCAGUGAGGAAUAUUGGGCAAUGGGCGAAAGCCUGACCCAGCCACGCCGCGUGAGUGAUGAAGGCCCUCGGGUCGUAAAGCUCUGUGGAGAGGGACGAAAACCCUGGUUUCAAAUAGGCUCCAGGCUUGACGGUACCUCUUUAGCAAGCACCGGCUAACUCUGUGCCAGCAGCCG
rnacentral:rRNA from 1 species